rnacentral:rRNA from 1 species
AUUGAACGCUGGCGGCAGGCCUAACACAUGCAAGUCGAGCGAGCGGCGGACGGGUGAGUAAUGUCUGGGAAACUGCCUGAUGGAGGGGGAUAACUACUGGAAACGGUAGCUAAUACCGCAUACCAUCGGAUGUGCCCCGAUGGGAUUAGCUAGUAGGGGGGGUAACGGCUAACCUAGGCGACGAUCCCUAGCUGGUCUGAGAGGAUGACCAGCCACACUGGAACUGAGACACGGUCCAGACUCCUACGGGAGGCAGCAGUGGGGAAUAUUGCACAAUGGGCGCAAGCCUGAUGCAGCCAUGCCGCGUGUGUGAAGAAGGCCUUCGGGUUGUAAAGUACUUUCAGCGGGGAGGCGUUACUCGCAGAAGAAGCACCGGCUAACUCCGUGCCAGCCGCCGCGGUAAUUC